rnacentral:lncRNA from 1 species
GUGUUUAGGGUUCCAAAGGACCCCAUAUAUGAGUUUACUCCCCAUAUACCAUCACACAUGGAGUUUACGGUUGUAAACUCUUGAGUUUACGGCCGUAAACUCCCAACCAUGGGGGUAUUGUUUGUUUUGAAGUCCCAAAUGAUUCCUAGAAUUAUUCCAACUUGGUGGUUCAAUUCUUGAAAGGGUUUAAGGUCUAGAAACACUCCUUAGAGGAUUUUACGGCCCUAAGGCCAUUUCCUUUGGAGUUUACGACCGUAAACUCCCUUGGAAUGGUGUUCUUGUUGUUUUCAAGCCUCAACCAUAGGUGGUAUAAGUUCUAGGCUUUUAUUCCAAGCGUAUGAAGACAUUAGGCACACUUUGGUGCCCUUCUUUCAUGUUUACGGCCCAAGAACCAAGUCUUGGCUGUAAACUCACUUUGAUAAGUGAUUUUGAUGUGCUUAAGGUCAUAGAUUAAAUGGGAACAAGUCUAGAUAAAAGUCUAAAGCUUUAGGUGCCUUAAAAGCACCAUUUGAGUUUGAAAUUGGAGUUUACGGCCUAAGAAACUCUUGGGCCGUGAAAUCCCAAACUUNCAUUUGAGUUUGAAAUUGGAGUUUACGGCCUAAGAAACUCUUGGGCCGUGAACUCCCAAACUUGGGUGAUUCUUGGUUGUUUUCUUGUCCCUAACACACAUACAUAUGAGU